rnacentral:rRNA from 1 species
UACGUAGGGGGCAAGCGUUGUCCGGAUUUAUUGGGCGUAAAGAGCGUGUAGGCGGUUAUGCAGGUCCGCUGUGAAAACUGGAGGCUUAACCUCCAGACGUCGGUGGAAACCGUAUGACUAGAGUCCGGAAGAGGAGAGUGGAAUUCCUGGUGUAGCGGUGAAAUGCGCAGAUAUCAGGAAGAACACCAAUGGCGAAAGCAGCUCUCUGGGACGGUACUGACGCUGAGACGCGAAAGCGUGGGGAGCGAACAGG